rfam:Triticum aestivum genome assembly, contig: Triticum_aestivum_CS42_TGACv1_scaffold_640815_T_7DS-0.203692_1BL-0.136177
AUAUUACUCCCUUCGUUCGGAAUUACUCGUUCAAGAAAUGAAUGUAUCUAGAUAUAUUUUAGUUGUAGAUACAUCCAUUUUUAUGACAAGUAAUUCCGAACGGAGGGAGUAGAAC